AUUCAAAUGACCAGUUCUAAAUAGGGUGAAACGCGCGUCCUAAAU
rnacentral:hammerhead_ribozyme from 1 species